rnacentral:rRNA from 1 species
CUGGAGGUAUCAGAAGUGCGAAUGCUGACAUAAGUAACGAUAAAGCGGGUGAAAAGCCCGCUCGCCGGAAGACCAAGGGUUCCUGUCCAACGUUAAUCGGGGCAGGGUGAGUCGACCCCUAAGGCGAGGCCGAAAGGCGUAGUCGAUGGGAAACAGGUUAAUAUUCCUGUACUUGGUGUUACUGCGAAGGGGGGACGGAGAAGGCUAUGUUGGCCGGGCGACGGUUGUCCCGGUUUAAGCGUGUAGGCUGGUUUUCCAGGCAAAUCCGGAAAAUCAAGGCUGAGGCGUGAUGACGAGGC